AUUUCUACCACUUUACGGAGGACAGUUUCAUCAACAAGGACCUGUGUGAAGCUGGUUUUUCAGCCAAGCUGAGGCUAAAAGACAGGGUUUUUCUAUCUAUAAGGGCUGAUGUUGAUGAUGCAGAAACACAAGCUCCACACAGGUUAGUUUCCUCCAAAAUGCCAGCACAGAGAUCAAUCACCAAGACUCAUGGUUCUCUCAUCCACACCUGUAAAGGGUUCUGCACAUUCACUGAGUGUCAGACCAGCAAAGAGACCCUGUCUUGUAUUACUGAAGGAGGGUGAGGAGGAGGAAGAGGAGGAUGAAGACAGUGUUUCUGAUUUCCCAGAGCCACAUGAUUCCACGUAUGAGCCUGGAGAAUCUUUGACAGAGCCAUCUGACGUUAGGACACUCCAGCCAGCCACUGCUACUGGGGACCAACAAUAUCAUUGACCUUCAACUUGUACAGAGCAAUGAGGUUGGUGGCAGCGUGCACAUGGAAAAGGAAGGUCUAAAAAGAGGCCUGGAUUUUCUGGAGGUAAACCAUUUGACUGUGCAUUACAUUGUGACACAAUUUCUGAGGGAGCGACAGGUGACCCAGUACUAUGAUGUUUGGCACUUUGAGAAGGGUUAGUCCAAAAAGCUGGACAAGAUUUUCCAAAACAAGGAGUGUGCAAGUGGUUGUCUAGCAUCAAAAGCCACAUUUACUGGACAGCCGUGUCUUCAAAGUCUGGACUGGAGAAAGUCCCUGGUCAACCACAUCCAGAAUGUGCACACACAUGAUGAUCUGCUCUUCCUCAAGUAUGCUCAUCCUGACAUAGCCUCCAGAGACCCCAGGAAGUGGUUUCAACCAGGUUCAGUGGCCCUGUACAAAGUCGAUAAACUCUGAAGAGUUUUCAAAGACGUCGAAAAACUCAGUCAUCACCAACAAACGUCAUAACUAGAAGCCUUCAUAGUUUCAUUCUACGCUUUGCACCAAAGAAUGACGUUUUCCCCUUCAUUGGGAUUCUGUGCAGGAAAACGUUCCUGAGUCCAAGAAGGGAGAAUAUACAGCAAAGCCUGUUAAGAUGGAGCAAACAUUUAACUAUGUGUGUAACCUGAUGAAGCUGCUUUUUGAGGACAUUUGAGGACCCAUCACAUACAGAUAGGAACAUGAACAGAUUCCCAUCCCAGAGGACCUGCGUGCACAGUUCGACAGACCCUCAAAGUAGGAGGUCAUCGCCAGGCAUGUAUCACGGUUCAGUCAUGGGGCGGCUGGAACCCAACAUAGUUCUCUGCAGGAUCAGGAAACUCCUGGCGUAUCCGGCCAACACCACAUGACAGGAUGAAGACCCUGAUGUGUCUGCCUAGGUACGAGGACAUGUGCAGUGGGUGAGGAUCUAUCGAGCAGCCCUAAAUAUUUUCCAAUACUACAGGAUGAUGAUAACUCAUGGGUGAAUGACUAUGGCAAAGAACUGGGGGAAAGAAAUUUAACAUUUCUCGUUCCUGAAGAAAAAGCAGAAGAGGACAAUAGCAGGGACAAGCCAUUUAAGGGUACCUGAAGAACACAUCUCCUAACUCUACUGCGAGCGGUAUUAUAAAGGUAACCGUAGCUUAUUAUUUAUACGAUAUACUGCAGCAAAAAGCUAUACAAACAUGUGUGUAUUGUGCAUAUACAGAUGAAUGGUGCAGAAAACAACCUUACAUGCAUUGACACGCUGCCCUUCUUUAAUAUAAAAGGACAUAAGAGAGAAAUUACGCAGAAGCUUUUUAACAAAAAUUUUGCUGAUGCUCAAAAGUAUGUACUACGCGAUCUUGGGUUGGUGCCAACGUGUGAAUGCAGCAUUCGAUACAUUGCAGCAGCUGCUCUACAGAUUUGGCUGAGGAACCCUUUUCUCAUUGCUUUGCUUAAACGGGUAGUUAGAGUGGAGGACAGUGUGAGCACAGUAGUUAAGGAAUCUCUGCAUAUCUGGAAGGGGGAACAACACUAAAAACAAUGGGGAAUGUGUCUAGUCUACUAAACUAUGUCAUACAUUGUGUAUAAGAUGAGAACACUGUUGUGUGAAGCUGUUAACAAUGCAAUAUGUGACACAGAUAGGACACUAUGUUGUUCUAGAUUUGACAAACAGACAGAAUGUGUUAGAUGAAUGACCUCUGGAUGGCGUACCAUGGUGCAAAUGACAGCGGAUAAACAUGCAGAUGUACUCGAUAUAGCAAAUGUUUUUCCUGUGAACGAUCAUGAAUGUAAAUGUACUGGUUAACUGAA